rnacentral:rRNA from 1 species
UACGGGGGGAGCAAGCGUUGUUCGGAUUUACUGGGCGUAAAGGGCGCGUAGGCGGCCAGCGCAAGUCAGUUGUGAAAUCUCCGGGCUUAACUCGGAAAGGUCAACUGAUACUGCGCGGCUAGAGUGCAGAAGGGGCAACUGGAAUUCUCGGUGUAGCGGUGAAAUGCGUAGAUAUCGGGAAGAACACCCGUGGCGAAGGCGGCUCUCUGGGACGGUACUGACGCUGAGACGCGAAAGCGUGGGGAGCGAACAGG